UUCAGAAGAUCGAUGGAAAGGAGAACCUAGCUGACCCAUUCACUAAAGCCCUUUCUGUAAAGGAGUUCGAUUAUCACAAAUCGAAGAUGGGUAUAAGAUACUGUACAAAUUGGUUUUAGUCCAAGUGGGAGUUGUUGGGAAUUGUGUCCCAAAGCCAAUUUAUUAGUUGUAAGAAAUUGAAUUAUGUAUAUGUUUUAUUAAAAUGAAUAAAAAUUUAUUCUGGCAAUUUUCUAUUCAUCAUAAGUGUUGCAUCUUCAAAUUGAACUUCUGUGUAUUGUGAUGAAGUCCUUAGGACUAAUUUAG
rnacentral:lncRNA from 1 species